AUGAAAAGGAAGAGGAAAGUGCUGAUUUAUGUCCGAAUACCCUCAAAAAGAAGAGGACUUCCUGCUCUAAUUGGUCGACAUCGACCAUUUCCCGUCACUCGUCAAGCUGCGGAGAGGUGGUUACAUCACAUGCAACAAGCAUUGGACACUACUCCAGAUAUAGAUGAUGACUCAAAGAUUAAAAUGAUGAACUUCUUCAGGCACACUGCUUACUUUUUGGUGGCCGAUGAUGAGCUAAAGAAUCCAAACCAACAGAUAUCGUACAAACUGUGA